UAGCCUCUGAUUUAUAAGUGACUGACUUUGUGCAGAAUCUGGGGUAGGCCUACCAUUUAACAAAUUUUUAUACACCAGUUGUUUUUGGUAGUAAUCAGUUUAUGGUUGUUGCCUGGAUUCAUUUCAGUCGUUGCCUUUUGAAACAAUGCAUCAAGCCAAAACAUCUGAUCAUCUGAUCAUUAUACCAAUACUUAAUACUGUAAAUUGUGAUUUUAAUGGUAAAAAAAAAAUCUAUAGCAGUUCAGAAGUUUUCAUUUCCAUUUCUGAAUAUCAUUUUAAUAUCAUAAUGCCUCUGACUAUUUUCAUAUCCUCUGAGCAGUUAUUAGGUCGUCAUAUCUGUAAUAUUCAAACUAUUUUUCUGUUGAUUUUUCAUGCCCAGGUUUCACAUGUAGCAUCCUGGAAUUUGGUUUAUUUGUAGUGAAAUUAUAAAACAGAGAUACAUUUUACUUUUUUCCAUUCAGAAACCAUAGGGGUGCAAACUUUUGCACUCAGCUGUAGAUACCAAAACAUUUUGAGUGUGCUUGAUGAAAGGUUGUUCCAUGGUUUAAAAAAAAUUCCAACAAUGCUGUUAACAGUGAUAUCAUAUAUUUUUGCACACUUUGUAAAUGUGAUACGAGUGUGAUAAAAUAACAAUAUACUAAACUUAAAGUAAUUCCUAAUUUGCACAUUCUGCUUACACAUUCUGGUGUGUUUAUUCACAUAGGAUCUUUUCCAUGUUAGGAAUUGUGCCUGCGUUCAGCCUGUGUGACAUUUACAAAAGUUUAGAGAAGGAGAAGGCAGCAUGUGACAGCACUUGGGCACGUCAGACGCUUGGACGACCUCCUGGAGCUCCAUGUUCUCCUUGAGUUCUCCCUCAUGGUGGUGAGGGUGGUACAAUCUCGUGAGAUGUUACAGCUCCACAUUUACAUCUGAGCAGAAGUAAAUCUGUAAAUCUGCUGUUUGAUAUUUUUUUCUUUCAUAUUCCACUGCUGUGAUCUGUUCUCCAGCCUUUCAAAGAGUCAGUGCUCUCCCACGCCUGGGGCAGGGUAAAUCUGCUGUUUCACAUCUCUCUUCUCCCAGAAUUAUAAGUUGGAGGAGUUUUUCUUCAAGGUAAAAGGAAAGACAGAUAUGUCUAUGUACACUUCCUGGGUGUCGCAUCCAGCACGUAUCCACGCACUGUUCACCUGAAGAGCAUCAUAUCCUGCGGAACAGGGAGACAGGAACCGG